UACAGAGGUCCCAAGCGUUGUUCGGAUUCACUGGGCGUAAAGGGUGCGUAGGUGGUGGGGGAAGUCGGAUGUGAAAGCUCGGAGCUCAACUCCGAAAUGGCAUUGGAAACUACCCUGCUAGAGGAUUGGAGGGGGGACUGGAAUACUUGGUGUAGCAGUGAAAUGCGUAGAUAUCAAGUGGAACACCAGUGGCGAAGGCGAGUCCCUGGACAAUACCUGACACUGAGGCACGAAAGCUAGGGGAGCAAACAGG
rnacentral:rRNA from 1 species